AAUCAACGCUGGCGGCGUGCCUCAGACAUGCAAGUCGAACGCGAAAGUUCCCUUCGGGGGGCGAGUAGAGUGGCGCACGGGUGAGUAACACGUAGGUAAUCUACCUUUGGGUGGGGAAUAACAGCCGGAAACGGCUGCUAAUACCGCAUAAUGCAGCGGCUCGACAUCGAGACAGUUGUUAAAGCGGGGGAUCGCAAGACCUCGCGCCUAAAGAGGAGCCUGCGGCGGAUUAGCUUGUUGGUGAGGUAAUGGCUCACCAAGGCAUCGAUCCGUAGCCGGCCUGAGAGGGCGGUCGGCCACACUGACACUGACAUACGGGUCAGACUCCUACGGGAGGCAGCAGUCGGGAAUUUUGGGCAAUGGGCGCAAGCCUGACCCAGCAACG
rnacentral:rRNA from 1 species